UGUGGGAUAUUGCACAAUGGGCGAAAGCCUGAUGCAGCGACGCCGCGUGGGGGAUGAAGGCUUUCGGGUUGUAAACCUCUUUCGCUAUCGAACAAGGCCCGCUUAGGGUGGGUUGAGGGUAGGUGGAGAAGAAGCGCCGGCUAACUACGUGCCAGCAGCCGCGGUAAUACGUAGGGCGCGAGCGUUGUCCGGAAUUAUUGGGCGUAAAGGGCUUGUAGGCGGCUUGUUGCGCCUGCUGUGAAAACGCGGGGCUUAACUUCGCGCGUGCAGUGGGUACGGGCAGGCUUGAGUGUGGUAGGGGUGACUGGAAUUCCAGGUGUAGCGGUGGAAUGCGCAGAUAUCUGGAGGAACACCGAUGGCGAAGGCAGGUCACUGGGCCAUUACUGACGCUGAGGAGCGAAAGCAUGGGUAGCGAACAGG
rnacentral:rRNA from 1 species